rnacentral:rRNA from 1 species
UACGAAGGGGGCUAGCGUUGCUCGGAAUCACUGGGCGUAAAGCGCACGUAGGCGGCUUACUAAGUCAGGGGUGAAAUCCUGGAGCUCAACUCCAGAACUGCCUUUGAUACUGGUGAGCUUGAGUCCGGAAGAGGUGAGUGGAACUGCGAGUGUAGAGGUGAAAUUCGUAGAUAUUCGCAAGAACACCAGUGGCGAAGGCGGCUCACUGGUCCGGUACUGACGCUGAGGUGCGAAAAGCGUGGGGGAGCAAACAGG